CGCCAGACUCCUACGGGAGGCAGCAGUGGGGAAUAUUGCACAAUGGGGGAAACCCUGAUGCAGCGACGCCGCGUGAGUGAAGAAGUAUUUCGGUAUGUAAAGCUCUAUCAGCAGGGAAGAAAAUGACGGUACCUGAUUAAGAAGCCCCGGCUAACUACGUGCCAGCAGCCGCGGUAAUACGUAGGGGGCAAGCGUUAUCCGGAUUUACUGGGUGUAAAGGGAGCGUAGACGGCAGCACAAGUCUGGAGUGAAAUGCCGGGGCUUAACCCCGGAACUGCUUUGGAAACUGUGCAGCUAGAGUGCAGGAGAGGUAAGUGGAAUUCCUAGUGUAGCGGUGAAAUGCGUAGAUAUUAGGAGGAACACCAGUGGCGAAGGCGGUCUGCUGGACAGCAACUGACGCUGAGGCGCGAAAGCGUGGGGAGCAAACAGGAUUAGAUACCCGUGUAGC
rnacentral:rRNA from 1 species